GUACAUCUGGACGGCGCGGUACUCGCUCCCGCUGACGGUGGGAGUCCUCGCCGUCGCGGGGUUCGUGGCCCGGGACGCACGC
rnacentral:tRNA from 1 species